rnacentral:tmRNA from 1 species
GGGGAUGAAAGGAUUUCGACAGGGGUAACAAACCUUGGUCAGCGGGUAGCGGAGUUGCACCGCUUUAAAAGUAACACUUUAAAAUUAACUGACAAUAAUAAGACAGUUUUAAAGGCUGCGUAAGCGCCUUUCGUUCUGCCUGAGCUUGCCGCAGUUCAGGUAAGGGCGUCGACUUAGCGGCGAACAUGAACGGGGGAGUGUUCCGACCUCCGUCAGGUAACAGGGACUACCGUAAGCGAUAGGCUGUUUGCUGCCGCUCGCUGAGGGGAAUCUUAAAGAACAAACUACACCCGUAGAGCCCUUGGCAAGAUACUUUUGGACGCGAGUUCGAUUCUCGCCAUCUCCACCA